AUUGAACGCUGGCGGCAGGCCUAACACAUGCAAGUCGAGCGGAUGAAGGGAGCUUGCUCCUGGAUUCAGCGGCGGACGGGUGAGUAAUGCCUAGGAAUCUGCCUGGUAGUGGGGGAUAAGGUCCGGAAACGGGCGCUAAUACCGCAUAGGUCCGGGGGGAGAAAGGGGGGGACCUUCGGGACUACAGGUUUCAGAGGGGCCUGGGUCGGAUUAGCUAGUUGGGGGGGUAAAGGCCUACCAAGGCGACGAUCCGUAACUGGUCUGAGAGGAUGAUCAGUCACACUGGAACUGAGACACGGUCCAGACUCCUACGGGAGGCAGCAGUGGGGAAUAUUGGACAAUGGGCGAAAGCCUGAUCCAGCCAUGCCGCGUGUGUGAAGAAGGUCUUCGGAUUGUAAAGCACUUUAAGUUGGGAGGAAGGGCAGUAAGUUAAUACCUUGCUGUUUUGACGUUACCAACAGAAUAAGCACCGGCUAACUUCGUG
rnacentral:rRNA from 1 species